rnacentral:lncRNA from 1 species
AUUAGUUAACUUUAGGGUUAUAAAUAUUUUUUUCCUUCUUUAAAAAUAAGGAUAAAAGUGGUUAGUGUAAUCAUAAACAGUAGUAUUAUGAAUAUGAUAUUUUUGACAACUUCCCAGUAAAAACCACCAUCACCAACAAUACUGCAGGUCCAUAAAUAAUAGUCUCUUCGUUAUAUAAUGCACCAUAUUUUGGUUAAAACAAAAUAAAAAUAAAAAAAAUACUUUAAAAAUUAUCAAUCAUAAUGAAUAUAAUAAAAUAUUAUUGGUCAACUAAUAUUAAAACACCUUAUAUUUUAAAACAUUAAAUCUUCAUUAAAACAUUUUACACUAUGGAUUGAAUAAUUCCGAACCGAAAUAAUAAAUGUGUAGUUAGUUUAUUUUCCAUCGAUGAGACACAAAAUAAUGACGUUAAGAGAAAUUCUAUAAGAAAAUCUUUAAAUACACCAACUGAAUUAGACUAAAUAACAA